rnacentral:lncRNA from 1 species
CCUAUCUCUAUUUCUUUCAAAUGUGACUCAGACACCCCAAGGGGACACACUAUGUUAGAUGAAUCCAUUGUCCUGUAAUUCCGUGAUUUGUUUCCUCAGUUCCUCCAUUUUAACGCGGCUCAUGCAGUAAGGAACAAUCGAAAUAGGCUGGGUGUCUGGCUAAAGGUCUAUGGUGAAUUCGACUUCUCUGUCCACUAGUAGUCUACGUAGUUCAACCAAAAACACAUUUGGAAAGUC